UACGUAGGGUCCGAGCGUUAUCCGGAAUUAUUGGGCGUAAAGAGCUUGUAGGCGGUUUGUCGCGUCUGCUGUGAAAUCUCAAGGCUCAACCUUGAGCUUGCAGUGGGUACGGGCAGACUAGAGUGUGGUAGGGGAGACUGGAAUUCCUGGUGUAGCGGUGAAAUGCGCAGAUAUCAGGAGGAACACCGAUGGCGAAGGCAGGUCUCUGGGCCACUACUGACGCUGAGAAGCGAAAGCAUGGGGAGCGAACAGG
rnacentral:rRNA from 1 species